ACCAGACUUCCACCUUAAAGUUGGACUACCAGGAAACUUUGAGGCGUAUAUUAAUAUGCUUUUCGACAUUUCUUUAUUGAAAGUUAUUUGGAAGGUAGGUGGUUAGGAUUCUUGUUGUCAUCACUUUUAAUUAUACCUAUUCAUGUCUCAAAGUUAGUUUUUAAAACGCACUUCAGAAAAUAAAAGUAACUGCCAUAUAUGGUCCGGGGAAACUUCACACCCGCCCCUUGAUUCCAUUCCGAGCUCACAAAUUUGAUUCUCGGGAAGUGGACACGUGACCUGCUUCACCUGUGUCGCCUCCGGCUUCACCUGUGCAGACGUCGACCUACGUCACACUCACGAGAUGUCCAUUAAAGACAAACCGAAACUAACAUGACGGCUGCUUUAGAGAGAUAUCCUAAUAACCGCUCUGAAUAACUCUCAGAACGGACCUCAAACAGAAAACCUAAUCCCAAUCCUAACGUUUAAUAAAUAUUAAUAAAGAACUCCAAUGUUGGUCACUGGUCAGUCACAGACUUCCCAAUAAAGCGCGAAAGACGAAGAUCUGGGGAUAAACGUCGGCGGGCUUAGGUAGACAUGUAACGAAUUAAAUCAAUUAAGUGGAACUCUUCACUGUUUUCACGCAGGGCUCCUCGUUAUUCGUUUUAAAGAUCGAAGAAUAAAAUAAAAUAAAUUACAAAAAUGAGCGGAGAUCUGGAGUCAGAGUACAGCCUUCUACUCGGACCCAAACCCCGCCAUGGGCCAUGGACUCAUUAAACUACAUUAAAACAAUA